rnacentral:rRNA from 1 species
GGCGAACGGGUGAGUAACACGUGGGUAACCUGCCCAUCAGAAGGGGAGUAACACUUGGAAACAGGUGCUAAUACCGUAUAACAAUCGAAACCGCAUGGUUUCGGUUUGAAAGGCGCUUUUGCGUCACUGAUGGAUGGACCCGCGGUGCAUUAGCUAGUUGGUGAGGUAACGGCUCACCAAGGCAACGGUGCAUAGCCGACCUGAGAGGGUGAUCGGCCACAUUGGGACUGAGACACGGCCCAAACUCCUACGGGAGGCAGCAUG